AAGACUGGGAUAACUCCGGGAAACCGGGGCUAAUACCGGAUGCUUGAUUGAACCGCAUGGUUCAAUCAUAAAAGGUGGCUUUUAGCUACCACUUACAGAUGGACCCGCGGCGCAUUAGCUAGUUGGUGAGGUAACGGCUCACCAAGGCGACGAUGCGUAGCCGACCUGAGAGGGUGAUCGGCCACACUGGGACUGAGACACGGCCCAGACUCCUACGGGAGGCAGCAGUAGGGAAUCUUCCGCAAUGGACGAAAGUCUGACGGAGCAACGCCGCGUGAGUGAUGAAGGUUUUCGGAUCGUAAAACUCUGUUGUUAGGGAAGAACAAGUACCGUUCGAAUAGGGCGGCACCUUGACGGUACCUAACCAGAAAGCCACGGCUAACUACGUGCCACCAGCCGCGGUAAUACGUAAGUGGCAA
rnacentral:rRNA from 1 species